UCCGCACUGGUGUAACGGCUAGCAUAACGCGCUUUCAUCUCAUGAGUAGAAUCAAUCCUUCACUUGUAGAGUAGAUCCGCGUAGACCGGGGUUCGACUCCCCGGUGCGGAA